UCGCAAGUUGAGCUCUAGUGUUCUACAUCUACCCUGUAGAUCCGAAUUUGUCUGCAACAAGACUACAAAUUCGGUUCUAGAGAGGUUUGUGUGGUACAUACGAAACGACAACUCGGCG
rnacentral:precursor_RNA from 14 species